rnacentral:rRNA from 1 species
UGGGGAAUUUUGGACAAUGGGCGAAAGCCUGAUCCAGCAAUGCCGCGUGUGUGAAGAAGGCCUUCGGGUUGUAAAGCACUUUUGUCCGGAAAGAAAUCCUUGGCUCUAAUACAGUCGGGGGAUGACGGUACCGGAAGAAUAAGCACCGGCUAACUACGUGCCAGCAGCCGCGGUAAUACGUAGGGUGCAAGCGUUAAUCGGAAUUACUGGGCGUAAAGCGUGCGCAGGCGGUUUGCUAAGACCGAUGUGAAAUCCCCGGGCUCAACCUGGGAACUGCAUUGGUGACUGGCAGGCUAGAGUAUGGCAGAGGGGGGUAGAAUUCCACGUGUAGCAGUGAAAUGCGUAGAGAUGUGGAGGAAUACCGAUGGCGAAGGCAGCCCCCUGGGCCAAUACUGACGCUCAUGCACGAAAGCGUGGGGAGCAAACAGGAUUAGAUACCCUGGUAGUCCACGCCCUAAACGAUGUCAACUAGUUGUUGGGGAUUCAUUUCCUUAGUAACGUAGCUAACGCGUGAAGUUGACCGCCUGGGGAGUACGGUCGCAAGAUUAAACUCAAAUGAAUUGACGGGGUCAUAGCUGUUUCCU